AGUGUUUCAAUAAGAUAGAGGUCGCCCAACCAAGGAGGGUGCUGAUACAUUUUGUGGAAACUGGCAGUGCUAAACCAAGUGCAAGAAGCCCAAGCAACACUGGACGGAUCUGUCCCUGGCUUUCAUGACGACUGAGGUGACAGAGAAGGCACUAUAAAGAUUCGAGAGGAACAAGAGAAACAUUAUCAAGCGUCUACUAGAGCCCCAGCACUGUAUCGGGCCACACCUAUAACAACCCACAAGGCCUCUAUUAUCCUCAUUAUUUUUUCUGCCGGUGUAUCAUCUGUUUUCCAAUUUCCCUCUCUCUUACACAUGCGGAACUCAAGGUGAAUAGCAGCCCCAGUCUGGCCGUCCCCCACCAGCUGAUAGUCCGUGAGG